rnacentral:rRNA from 1 species
AACGCGAAGAACCUUACCUGGGUUUGACAUGGAUCGGGAGUGCUCAGAGAUGGGUGUGCCUCUUUUGGGGUCGGUUCACAGGUGGUGCAUGGCUGUCGUCAGCUCGUGUCGUGAGAUGUUGGGUUAAGUCCCGCAACGAGCGCAACCCUUGUUCACUGUUGCCAGCACGUUAUGGUGGGGACUCAGUGGAGACCGCCGGGGUCAACUCGGAGGAAGGUGGGGAUGACGUCAAGUCAUCAUGCCCCUUAUGUCCAGGGCUUCACGCAUGCUACAAUGGCUGGUACAGAGAGUGGCGAGCCUGUGAGGGUGAGCGAAUCUCGGAAAGCCGGUCUCAGUUCGGAUUGGGGUCUGCAACUCGACCUCAUGAAGUCGGAGUCGCUAGUAAUCGCAGAUCAGCAACGCUGCGGUGAAUACGUUCCCGGGUCUUGUACACACCG